rnacentral:rRNA from 1 species
UACGUAGGGGGCAAGCGUUGUCCGGAAUCAUUGGGCGUAAAGCGCGUGUAGGCGGCCCGGUAAGUCCGCUGUGAAAGUCCAGGGCUCAACCCUGGGAUGCCGGUGGAUACUGUCGGGCUCGAGUCCGGAAGAGGCGAGUGGAAUUCCUGGUGUAGCGGUGAAAUGCGCAGAUAUCAGGAAGAACACCCGUGGCGAAGGCGGUUCUCUGGGACGGUACUGACGCUGAGACGCGAAAGCGUGGGGAGCGAACAGG